rnacentral:rRNA from 1 species
AUUGAACGCUGGCGGCAGGCUUAACACAUGCAAGUCGAGCGGAGAUGAGGUGCUUGCACCUUAUCUUAGCGGCGGACGGGUGAGUAAUGCUUAGGAAUCUGCCUAUUAGUGGGGGACAACAUUCCGAAAGGAAUGCUAAUACCGCAUACGCCCUACGGGGGAAAGCAGGGGAUCUUCGGACCUUGCGCUAAUAGAUGAGCCUAAGUCGGAUUAGCUAGUUGGUGGGGUAAAGGCCUACCAAGGCGACGAUCUGUAGCGGGUAUGAGAGGAUGAUCCGCCACACUGGGACGGAGACACGGCCCAGACUCCUACGGGAGGCAGCAGUGGGGAAUAUUGGACAAUGGGCGGAAGCCUGAUCCAGCCAUGCCGCGUGUAUGAAGAAGGCCUUUUGGUUGUAAAGCACUUUAAGCGAGGAGGAGGCUACCUGGAUUAAUACUCCAGGAUAGUGGACGUUGCUCGCAGAAUAAGCACCGGCUAACUCUGUGCCAGCCGCCGCAGUAAAAC